rfam:Blastocystis sp. NandII AV274scaffold_17, whole genome shotgun sequence.
ACCACCUUCGGGUGGUCAUCCGUUAAAAUUGGAACGAUACAGAGAAGAUUAGCAUGGUCCCUGCGCAAGGAUGACACGCAUACAUUGAGAAAGUAUCACGAUUUUU